rnacentral:rRNA from 1 species
GAACGGGUGAGUAACGCGUGAGGAACCUGCCUCAAAGAGGGGGACAACAGUUGGAAACGACUGCUAAUACCGCAUAAGCCCACAGCUCGGCAUCGAGCAGAGGGAAAAGGAGUGAUCCGCUUUGAGAUGGCCUCGCGUCCGAUUAGCUAGUUGGCGAGGUAAUGGCCCACCAAGGCGACGAUCGGUAGCCGGACUGAGAGGUUGAACGGCCACAUUGGGACUGAGACACGGCCCAGACUCCUACGGGAGGCAGCAGUGGGGAAUAUUGCACAAUGGGGGAAACCCUGAUGCAGCGACGCCGCGUGGAGGAAGAAGGUCUUCGGAUUGUAAACUCCUGUUGUUGAGGAAGAUAAUGACGGUACUCAACAAGGAAGUGACGGCUAACUACGUGCCAGCAGCCGCGGUAAAACGUAGGUCACAAGCGUUGUCCGGAAUUACUGGGUGUAAAGGGAGCGCAGGCGGGAGAACAAGUUGGAAGUGAAAUCCAUGGGCUCAACCCAUGAACUGCUUUCAAAACUGUUUUUCUUGAGUAGUGCAGAGGUAGGCGGAAUUCCCGGUGUAGCGGUGGAAUGCGUAGAUAUCGGGAGGAACACCAGUGGCGAAGGCGGCCUACUGGGCACCAAC